GGGAAGCCCGGUGCACGCCGGGAGAUGGAGUUCUCCUGGCAGGACCUAUCGCCUGCCCCUGCGCCCCUUCUCAGGCGAGUGUCCUGGGAGCGAACGCCGAGGACGAGGGUCGUGCGGCCGGGCCGGGGUGCCUGCGCAGCCGGCCGGAGUCGGCAAGAAGCUGGGGAGCGCCGGGGAGAAUGCAUGCAGGGAGGGAAGCCAGACAGCUCUGGCCGCCGCACCGCUUACCCUUGGCCUUGGGGGAGGAGUUGGUCUGACACAAAGAGCACACGCUGCAGUCACCCUUCCGUGAGCUGCCGCAGGGGCCACUCUUUCGGGUUUCAGUGCCAGGAGGAGCCUGGCGGCCACUGAUAGGUGCGGCCGUCCCAGUUUCCAGGGGAUGGUGGCGUCUUCCUGACCGAGGAGGGGUGUGAGGCUGCGGUCCGGGGCCUGCAGGGAAGCUGCACCAGGAGGAGCCCCACGGCCCGGGGACAGUGCCGGCGGCCACCGUGGGAAACCGAAGCCGAGCCGCGGGCCAGCUGCCCGGCCUGCUGCUGCUUUUGCGUCCCAGGGUGUGCCCUUGAGCCGUCUCCGAGGGCCAAGGUCCUCAGCUUGUGGCGUUUCGUCAGGCCGGCCGGCGCCGGGCCACGCGCUGCAGAGCACGGGCAGGGAGAGGCCUGCGGUGGCCACACCGACCCCCUGCGAGCCC
rnacentral:lncRNA from 1 species